rnacentral:misc_RNA from 1 species
GAAAUAUUCUCAUUUGGGAUAUAAAAAAUAAAAAAUAUAGUAAUUUAAUUAAGUAAAAGAAUAGCACUUCCUUUUUUUUUUCUUGUGCAAAACAGACACUUGCAUGGAAAAUUCAUUAGGUCUCAUGGAUAAACUUAAGCAAAGGAAUAACGCGUGUGAAAGCCACUUAUAAUACUGAACAAAAUGUAUACAUAGGACUAGAAAUUAAAACUCAAAUAAAUAAGCAUAUCCAGUAUGUAUAUUUCGGUAUAAUUAUCAGAAGUGAAGUAGUUUAAUAUAUUAAUGAUACAGUAUUAACAAUUUAUGGUUU